rnacentral:rRNA from 1 species
UACGUAGGGUGCAAGCGUUGUCCGGAAUUAUUGGGCGUAAAGAGCUCGUAGGCGGUCUGUCGCGUCGGCUGUGAAAUCCCGAGGCUCAACCUCGGGUCUGCAGUCGAUACGGGCAAACUGGAGUGUUGCAUGGGAGACUGGAAUUCCUGGUGUAGCGGUGAAAUGCGCAGAUAUCAGGAGGAACACCGGUGGCGAAGGCGGGUCUCUGGGCAACAACUGACGCUGAGGAGCGAAAGCGUGGGGAGCAAACAGG